rnacentral:rRNA from 1 species
UGGGGAAUUUUGGACAAUGGGCGCAAGCCUGAUCCAGCCAUGCCGCGUGUCUGAAGAAGGCCUUCGGGUUGUAAAGGACUUUUGUCAGGGAAGAAAAGGCUGUUGCUAAUAUCAGCGGCUGAUGACGGUACCUGAAGAAUAAGCACCGGCUAACUACGUGCCAGCAGCCGCGGUAAUACGUAGGGUGCAAGCGUUAAUCGGAAUUACUGGGCGUAAAGCGAGCGCAGACGGUUACUUAAGCAGGAUGUGAAAUCCCCGGGCUCAACCUGGGAACUGCGUUCUGAACUGGGUGACUAGAGUGUGUCAGAGGGAGGUAGAAUUCCACGUGUAGCAGUGAAAUGCGUAGAGAUGUGGAGGAAUACCGAUGGCGAAGGCAGCCUCCAGGGAUAACACUGACGUUCAUGCUCGAAAGCGUGGGUAGCAAACAGGAUUAGAUACCCUGGUAGUCCACGCCCUAAACGAUGUCAAUUAGCUGUUGGGCAACUUGAUUGUUCAGUAGCGUAGCUAACGCGUGAAAUUGACCGCCUGGGGAGUACGGUCGCAAGAUUA